AAACCAAACUCUUGAGAAAACGCUGAUUAGUGAUUCUUCCUCUGAAUGAUUCAAAAUGAAGAACCGUUGUUAUGGUUAGUUGUGUGACCUAACAUGGAGAACGAGGAAGCCAAAGAACCCAAACGGAUCUGCCAAGAUAAAAUGCGACAUCCUAUCCUUCUUGCAUGGUCAGAAAUAGAUCUGAUUUACACGCAUUUAUCCGUUUCCAACCAACUAAGUCGGCCAAAAUCUCAAUAUAGUGAAUCAUCAUUCAAAGCAUUGGGACCCGGAUAAUCUCGUACCAUAAAUGCGUUGUACUGUUGAAUGGAACUAAUAUGGUUGAUGAACUACAAGAUCCAACUCAAAGAAGCCUGAUCAUUCUAGGGAGAAGUUGUUGCUUUGUUGGCUGGCUUGGCACAAAUGACAACCUCCCUGAUUACUGAACAGUUUUGCUAAUGCAGCUGCAAUCUGGUACAGAGAUUAAGUGUUUAAUUUCUUGUGAAAUUAAAAAGAAAAAUUAUAGACUUGAUAUAUUAUCAGAUUGAGUGAAUACCCGAGUUUCAUUGCUUUGGUUGAUGGUUCACUGUAUUUGUAUUGAGACUGUGGCUGACUUAGCUGGAGACUGAUAGAUGCAAGUGAAUCAUAUCCAUUUCUGACGUUGUAAGAA
rnacentral:lncRNA from 1 species